UACGAACGCUGGCGGCGUGCCUAACACAUGCAAGUCUUGGGAGAAAGUGGUAGCAAUACCGCGAGUAAACCGGCGCAAGGGUGAGUAACACGUAGGUAAUUUGCCCUGGGAUGGGAACAACUCCGAGAAAUCGGGGCUAAUACCCAAUAAUGCAGCGGCACCACAUGGUGAUGUUGUUAAAUGUCGAAAGACGCCUUAGGAUGAACCUGCGUCCCAUUAGGUAGUUGGCGGGGUAACGGCCCACCAAGCCUUCGAUGGGUAGCUGGUCUGAGAGGACGAUCAGCCACACUGGAACUGAGACACGGUCCAGACUCCUACGGGAGGCAGCAGUGAGGAAUAUUGCGCAAUGCCCGCAAGGGUGACGCAGCGACGCCGCGUGAAGGAUGAAGGCCCUCUGGGUCGUAAACUUCUUUGGCAGGGGAAUAACGGAUCGCUACAGGCGGUCGUGAAUGUACCCUGAGAACAAGCAUCGGCUAACUACGUGCCAGCAGCCGCGGU
rnacentral:rRNA from 1 species